rnacentral:rRNA from 1 species
GUGAACGCUGGCGGUAGGCCUAACACAUGCAAGUCGAACGGCAGCACAGUAAGAGCUUGCUCUUACGGGUGGCGAGUGGCGGACGGGUGAGGAAUACAUCGGAAUCUACUUUUUCGUGGGGGAUAACGUAGGGAAACUUACGCUAAUACCGCAUACGACCUACGGGUGAAAGCAGGGGAUCUUCGGACCUUGCGCGAUUGAAUGAGCCGAUGUCGGAUUAGCUAGUUGGCGGGGUAAAGGCCCACCAAGGCGACGAUCCGUAGCUGGUCUGAGAGGAUGAUCAGCCACACUGGAACUGAGACACGGUCCAGACUCCUACGGGAGGCAGCAGUGGGGAAUAUUGGACAAUGGGCGCAAGCCUGAUCCAGCCAUACCGCGUGGGUGAAGAAGGCCUUCGGGUUGUAAAGCCCUUUUGUUGGGAAAGAAAAGCAUCAGGUUAAUACCCCGCUGUUCUGACGGUACCCAAAGAAUAAGCACCGGCUAACUUCGUG